rnacentral:rRNA from 1 species
CCGGCGGGUGGCAGCAGUGGGGGAUAUUGCACAAUGGGGGGAACCCUGAUGCAGCGACGCCGCGUGGGUGAAGAAGCGCCUCGGCGCGUAAAGCCCUGUCAGCAGGGGAGAAAAUGACGGUACCUGAAGAAGAAGCCCCGGCUAACUACGGGCCAGCAGCCGCGGUAAUACGUAGGGGGCAAGCGUUAUCCGGAUUUACUGGGUGUAAAGGGGGCGCAGACGGCGAUGCAAGCCAGGAGUGAAAGCCCGGGGCCCAACCCCGGGACUGCUCUUGGAACUGCGUGGCUGGAGUGCAGGGGGGGCAGGCGGAAUUCGUGGUGUAGCGGUGAAAGGCGUAGAUAUCAGGAGGAACACCGGUGGCGAAGGCGGCCUGCUGGAGUGCAACUGACGUUGAGGCCCGAAAGCGUGGGGAGCAAACAGGAUUAGAUACCCGAGUAGUC